rnacentral:rRNA from 1 species
GACGAACGCUGGCGGCGUGCCUAAUACAUGCAAGUAGGACGCAGUUGCGAACGGGUGAGUAACGCGUAGGUAACUAUCUAUUAGAGGGGGAUAACUAUUGGAAACGAUAGCUAAUACCGCAUACUAGUAGAUGGACCUGCGUUGUAUUAGCUAGUAGGUAGGGUAAUGGCCUACCUAGGCAACGAUACAUAGCCGACCUGAGGGGUGGACCGCCCAAAUGGGAAUGGAGAACGGGCCAAGCUCCUACCGGAGGGCACAGUUGGGGAACUUUGGCAAUGGGGGGAAACCUGGACGAGGAAAGGCGCGGGAGUGGAAGAGGGUUUCGGGUCGUAAAGCUCUGGUGUUAAGGGAGCGGUACUUAACCAGAAAGGGACGGCUAACUACGUGCCAGCAGCCGCGGUAAUUC